rnacentral:rRNA from 1 species
GAUUUUUUAAAUUGCUGUGGUAUUUUGACUAUACGAAGGUAUUGAAAUAAGGCUUUAAUUGGGUGCUAAGAGAAUGGUUUAACGAAGAUCAUCUUUCUUAUUUUUAAAAAUGGAAUUUAAUUUAAAUAUGAAAAAGUUUUUAUGAAAUUUUGGGACAAGAAGACCCUAUGAAUUUUUUUUUAAUUUGUGUAUAGUUUAUGUAAGUUGUAAUAUUUAGUUAAAUUUAAGAUUGAUUGGGGCGAUUUUUUAAGAUUAAUAAUCUUAAAAAUGGUGGAAUUAGAACCAAAAAUUUUGGUUUUUUGAAAAAAAUACUCUAGGGUUAACAGCGUUAUUAUUUUGGAUAGUUCUUAUAGAUAAAAUAGUUUGCGACCUCGAUGUUGGAUUAAGAUUCUUUUAUAAUGUAGUAGUUAUAGGAAGAAGUUUGCUCAACUUUUAUAUUCUUACUUGAU